AUUGAACGCUGGCGGCAGGCCUAACACAUGCAAGUCGAACGAGUGGCGGACGGGUGAGUAAUGUCUGGGAAACUGCCCGAUGGAGGGGGAUAACUACUGGAAACGGUAGCUAAUACCGCAUACCAUCGGAUGUGCCCAGCUGGGAUUAGCGAGAAGGUGGGGUAACGGCUCACCUAGGCGACGAUCCCUAGCUGGUCUGAGAGGAUGACCAGCCACACAGGGACUGAGACACGGUCCAGACGCCUACGGGUGGCAGCAGUGGGGAAUAUGGCAAAAUGGGCGCAAGCCUGAUGCAGCCAUGCCGCGUGUAUGAAGAGGGCCGUCGGGUUGUAAAGUACUUUCAGCGAGGAGGCGUUACUCGCAGAAGAAGCAUCGGCUAACUCCGUGCCAGCAGCCGCGGUAAUUC
rnacentral:rRNA from 1 species